rnacentral:rRNA from 1 species
UACGGAAGGGGCAAGCGUUGUUCGGAAUCAUUGGGCGUAAAGGGCGCGUAGGUGGUUCUGUAUGUCUACCGUGAAAGCGUACGGCUCAACCGUAUUUUGUCGGUGGAAACUGCAGGACUUGAGGCUGGGAGGGGCUGGUGGAAUUCCCUGUGUAGCGGUGAAAUGCGUAGAUAUGCGGAGGAACACCGAUGGCGAAGGCAAUCCCCUGGGCCUGCACUGACGCUCAUGCACGAAAGCGUGGGGAGCAAACAGG